rnacentral:lncRNA from 1 species
CCUGUUCGCAAAUCGCAUCGGUCCGGUGAAUUUUCGUUUUCUAUUCCGUGUCUCUUUGUUUCCGCGCGAACCAAAUCGAGUGGUUGUUGUUGAUUUCGAUUGAUUUUCCGAUGAGUGGAACCUGGACUCUUCAAUUUUUAUGUUGAAAUUUGAAGAAGACGAAGCUUCAGAAGAUCAAGCCGUGAGAUUGAAAACGCGAUUGGAGCAUGAGAGGUGUUUGGUUCUUCAGCUUAUGAAGCAUUUCGC